rnacentral:rRNA from 1 species
GCAUACAAUUAUACCACCCUGAACACACCCAAUCUCAUCUGAUCUCAGGAGCUAAGCAGGGUUGGGUCUGGUUAGUUCUUGGAUGGGAGAAAAAUAAAGUGCU